rnacentral:rRNA from 1 species
AGAGUUUGAUCCUGGCUCAGGACAAACGCUGGCGGGGUGCAUGAGACAUGCAAGUCGAACGAGGUGAUCAUCGGGCUUGCUCGAUGACCACCUAGUGGCGGACGGCUGAGUAACGCGUAGGUGACCUACCCGGAAGUGGGGAAUAACUGCCCGAAAGGGUGGCUAAUACCGCAUGUGGUCGACGAUUCGAUUCGUCGUCUAAAGGAGCAAUUCGCUUCCGGAGGGGCCUGCGUCCGAUUAGCUAGUUGGUGGGGUAACGGCUCACCAAGGCGACGAUCGGUAGCUGGUCUGAGAGGAUGAUCAGCCAGACUGGGACUGAGAACGGCCCAGACUCCUACGGGAGGCAGCAGUCGGGAAUUUUGCCCAAUGGACGAAAGUCUGAGGCAGCAACUCCGCGUGAGGGAUGAAGGCUCUCGGGUCGUAAACCUCUUUUCUCAGGGAAGAUCCAAGACGGUACCUGAGGAAUAAGCGACGGCUAACUACGUGCCAGCAGCCGCGGUAAUACGUAGGUCGCAAGCGUUGUCCGGAUUUACUGGGCGUAAAGAGCGCGCAGGCGGCUGGUCAAGUCCGAUGUGAAAUCUCCCGGCUCAACUGGGAAACUGCAUCGGAAACUGAUCGGCUUGAAGGUGGGAGAGGGUAGUGGAAUUCCCGGUGUAGUGGUGAAAUGCGUAGAUAUCGGGAGGAACACCAGUGGCGAAGGCGACUACCUGGCCCAUUCUUGACGCUGAGGCGCGAAAGCUAGGGGAGCGAACGGGAUUAGAUACCCCUGUAGUCC